UGUGAAUGCACCAAUUGACACUCUGUGUCUGGCUACUCUGGUGGGGCCUUGGAGAACCUUUGUGUGGACACUCUGUAUCAAGUUAAUCUGAUGGGGAAGUGGAGAGCCUUUGUGUCUAGCUCAGAGAUUGUAAACGCACCAAUCAGCGCCCUGUCAAAACAGACCACUCGGCUCUACCAAUCAGCAGGAUGUGAGUGGGGCCAGAUAAGAGAAUAAAAGCAGGCUGCCCAAGCCAGCAGUGGCAACCGGCUCGGGUCCCAGUCCACACUGUGGAAGGUUUGUUCUUUCACUCUUUGCAAUAAAUCUUGCUGCUGCUCACUCUUUGGGUCCACACUGUUUUUAUGAGCUGUAACACUCACCGCGAAAGUCUGCAGCUUCACUCCUGAGCCAGCGAGACCACGAGCCCACCAGGAGGAACGAACAACUCCAGACCCGCUGCCUUAAGAGCUGUUAACAGUCACCGCGAAGGUCUGCAGCUUCACUCCUGAGCCAGCGAGACCACGAGCCCACCUGGAGGAACGAACAACUCCAGACCCGCUGCCUUAAGAGCUGUAGCAGUCACCACGAAAGUCUGCAGCUUCACUCCUGAGCCAGCGAGACCGCGAACCCACCAGAAGGAAGAAAUUCCGAACAUAUCCGAACAUCAGAAGGAACAAACUCCAGACGCGCCACCUUAAGAGCUGUAACACUCACCGCGAGGGUCCGCGGCUUCAUUCUUGAUGUCAGCAAGACCAAGAACCCACCAAUUCUGGACACAAAACCUCAAGUAGUCCCUCCACCGAAAGCACAUUAUAAGGAUCAUUUUGCCUCAAAGCCCUCCUACAGGCAAGAGGAGCUUACUGUGACUUCCAAGAAGAAAAUGAUGUUGUGGCAUGAAGCACUUCUCUGAUCAUAUCACUGCUGUACUAAAGGUAUGGAAUGUAUUCGGUGUUGAGGAGUUUGGACAGUACAGCAGCAGCUGCUCUAGCUCGUAUUCUUUUUCAUGAAAAUCCAUGAGAAGUGGUAAAGGAGUAAAUUUAACCUUUAAUGCCAAGUCAAUGCAGUGAUGGUCAUCAAUACAGAUUCAUAUUUGUGUCAAGUUAAGGCUUCAUUGGACUUCAGAUCUUACUGGAUUUCAGAAUUAGACCUUUGAAAGCCCUGAAAGAUGUCACUGGCCAUGAUCUAAAGCACUUUCCCAACAGAAGACACCAUGGAUUAAAAUGAGCAAGAAAGGAGGGAGAAGGUUAGAGAACAUGUUUUCCAUGCAAAAGCCUGCAGGACGGGGGGAGGAGCCAAGAUGGCCGAAUAGGAACAGCUCCGGUCUACAGCUCCCAGCGUGAGCGACGCAGAAGACGGGUGAUUUCUGCAUUUCCAUCUGAGGUACCGGGUUCAUCUCACUAGGGAGUGCCAGACAGUGGGCGCAGGUCAGUGGGUGCGCGCACCAUGUGCGAGCCGAAGCAGGGCAAGGCAUUGCCUCACUCGGGAAG
rnacentral:lncRNA from 1 species